CCUACGGGAGGCAGCAGUGGGGAAUAUUGCACAAUGGGGGAAACCCUGAUGCAGCAACGCCGCGUGGGUGAAGGAGGGUUUCGGCGCGUAAAGCCCUGUCAGCGGGGAAGAAGAAAGACGGGACCCGACGAAGAAGCACAGGCUAACGACUUGCCCGCAGCCGCGGGAAUACGUAGGGGGCGCGCGUUAUCCGGAAUUACUGGGUGUAAAGGGAGCGUAGACGGCGAGGUAAGCCUGAAGUGGAAGCCCGCGGCCCAACCGCGGAACUGCUUUGGGAACUUUUUUGCUGGAGUAUGGGAGGGGUAAGCGGAAUUCCUGGUGUAGCGGUGAAAUGCGUAGAUAUCAGGAGGAACACCGGUGGCGAAGGCGGCUUACUGGACCCUCCCUGACGUUGAGGCUCGAACGCGUGGGGAGCGAACAGGAUUAGAUACCCCUGUAGUC
rnacentral:rRNA from 1 species